rnacentral:rRNA from 1 species
UACAGGGGGUGCAAACGUUGCUCGGAAUCAUUGGGCGUAAAGCGCACGUAGGCGGUUCGUUAUGUCGGAUGUGAAAGCCCUUGGCUUAACCGAGGAAGUGCAUCCGAAACUGACGAGCUAGAGUACUAAAGAGGAUCGCGGAAUUCCCGGUGUAGAGGUGAAAUUCGUAGAUAUCGGGAGGAACACCGGUGGCGAAGGCGGCGAUCUGGGUAGAUACUGACGCUGAGGUGCGAAAGCGUGGGAAGCAAACAGG